rnacentral:rRNA from 1 species
UACGUAGGGGGGCAAGCGUUGUCCGGAUUUAUUGGGCGUAAAGAGCGUGUAGGCGGUUAGGUAGGUCCGUUGUGAAAACUCGAGGCUCAACCUCGAGACGCCGAUGGAAACCAUCUAACUAGAGUCCGGAAGAGGAGAGUGGAAUUCCUGGUGUAGCGGUGAAAUGCGCAGAUAUCAGGAAGAACACCCGUGGCGAAAGCGGCUCUCUGGAACGGUACUGACGCUGAGACGCGAAAGCGUGGGGAGCGAACAGG